rnacentral:rRNA from 1 species
UCUUGGUCAUUUAGAGGAAGUAAAAGUCGUAACAAGGUUUCCGUAGGUGAACCUGCGGAAGGAUCAUUAACGAAUAAGAGAGUUGAUGCUGGUAGUCUGACUACAUGUGCUCGCUCUCCUAAUCCCACUUACACCUGUGCACUUUAACUUUGGAGGGAGGGUAAAACCUGCCUUCGAAAUUCACAAACUCUUGUUUUUAAAUUAUGAAUGUUUAUCUGCCGCAAGGCAAAAUUUAAUACAACUUUUAACAACGGAUCUCUUGGCUCUCGCAUCGAUGAAGAACGCAGCGAAAUGCGAUAAGUAAUGUGAAUUGCAGAAUUCAGUGAAUCAUCGAAUCUUUGAACGCACCUUGCGCUCCCUGGUAUUCCGGGGAGCACGCCUGUUCGAGUGUCAUGAAACUCUCAAACAAAGUAGAUUUGUUUCUACCUCUGUUUGGAUUUGGACUCUGCUGCGUCAAUGCGGCUGGUCUUAAAUAUAUUAGCUGAUCCUAGCGAAGGUUUGGUUCUACUCAGCAUGAUAAUUAUCUGAUGUUGAGGACAGUCUUAGGACUGGCCAGGCUCUCUAUGGAUUGCUUCUAAUCGUCUUUGGACAAUCAUUCAAUAUCUGACCUCGAAUCAGGUGGGACUACCCGCUGAACUUAAGCAUAUCAAUAAGCGGAGGAA